UAGUACUAAGCGACCUUUCGCCAAAGAACUCAAGUAUAUUAAUUAAACCAUAAAUGGACACUUAUUGUUGAGAUCAAACCAGCAUUGAAACUGCUAAACAUUUUUCUGGGUCUCCUAAUGAACCUAGGAAUCCUUAGCCUUCUUGUUUUCAGAAAUGAAUAUUCCCACUGAUUUGAACCAUCGCAUAAGAUUACGAUGAUCUUUGACAUAAAGCCACGCUCGAAGAAACGGAAACAGACUUUCACUCACACCCCGCUCUUCUACGUAAUUAUGGAACGCGUCCCUCGUCGUUUCAUCAAGAUCUCUGUCAGUUGAACAAUUCAACCCAAAUAAACAUUAGUUUUUCAUGCAUAAAUCAGAGCACAUGACAGGUUUAAUUUCUAAAGAGCAAUACCAAAUUAUAAAAGAAGAAAGAAAUUCAGUAACUCAAACUAAGAGCAGCACUGAGGGAUACAAUAAUCUACAGUGCAAGAGUUAGGAUCAUUAGAUACAAUAAUCUCAGUGAAAGAGUUCAACAUAUAUGCUUAGGAAAUGAUUUCCACACACCUUUUGUUUGGGUUAAAACUGGAACUUUGGGCUCAAAAGGAAGUUAGCCCAGAAGAAGGUAUAGAAGGAAGGAAGCCCAAGGCUCAGUUGAAGCCCAGAAGGCGGAAGAAGCCAUUUUCCCGACUAAGUGUAGAUCACUUGAGCCAUUUGCUCACCUACCUAGAAGUCAAGUGGUGUAGACUAGCCAGCUAAUCAGCCCAAAAGUACUUUACAAUGACAGUACAAGUAAAAAGCUGAUGAGUCACUACCCUUCAGCUGCAUUCGGGCAAGAUCAAUGUUUCAGGCAGCCAAGC
rnacentral:lncRNA from 1 species